UGGCAGUCUCAGAAUAGGGGGUGGAAAUGGGGGACUGGUAGAGUGAUCGCAUCCCUCCAGGAGGCAAGAAAGAUUAUGAUGCGAAAAAGUGGAAUAUAUUCAAAUGGAGUCGUUUAAUUUGAUUUCGGAGGAGGAAUGGAGGGAAAAAGAGUGGAUGAAGAGAAUGAGGGAGGCAGAGGUUGUCUGAAUCUGUUGAAGAUGGUGGAAAAGAGGGAGGAGGUAUCGAAGAAGAUUGGUGUCAAGUGCAAACAGUGAGCCGUACGCCAGACCGAGUUCUGGAGGUGAGGGUGGGAAGCCCACUGGAGUGCUGUGUGGAGAGCCCUCGGCCCCACUGAGGAGAUGUGCUGCCAAGUCCUCCUCCAACAACAUUGAAGACUCCAACGCCGGGAUAACGCUGUGGAGGCAGAGCCAUUCCCGCUCCAGAGCAGAGGGACAAGACGCACCAGCCGUCAGGAGGGGCCUCCCAGCUCGCCCACACGGAUGCCGUCUGGCCACAGGAACACCCCAGAGGGCAAGUCGGACCUCAUCCUGGGUUGAGGUCCCUCUCCUUCCUUCCCUAUCUCUCUUUUUCUCCAAACUCCACUAUUCCUAUUAUCAAAGAAAAAAGAAGGAUCCCCACCCGUUCAUCUGUGAGUCCAGGAAUUCUGUCCUCCUCUUCCUCCCUCCCUAAGUCUAUUGUUUUGAUAUCCCCUCUUUUUAAAUUUUUGUACGAGUUUUUUGACAGAAGCACUUUAUGUACCUGAUCCAAGCCCCUGGCAUCUGUAGUGCUGUAGUCACAGGCCUGCUGGUCAAAGGGCAUGAGGUUUAAAUUGUCUCUCACUCCAUCCCUGUGUCAAUGGCAAAAGCUCCGAUGCGAGAUCGAUAAGGUUUAGAAAAAUACAAAUAAAAAAUGGAUACAAUGAA